GAGGUUGUGGCUCAGUGGUAGAGCACUUGCCUCGCAUGUGUGAGACACUGGGUUCCAUCCACAGCACCACA
rnacentral:tRNA from 1 species